AUUCUGAGUGCGUCCUGGCGAGUCUCAGCCCCCAAGCGGGUGGAACGCACCAAGGGUCUCAUCCGCGAGGAAGGGCUUUAACGCUCAGGGUCAGGAACCUCUGAGAGCUCUUGGGGACUUGCGCGCCCUUGGAUGCUCUUGCGUUCAACAGGGCUAGGAGACUACCGGCUGGGGCGAGGAAUGCAGGCGCCUAGAGCCUUGGAGCUCCUGAAACGUUCCUGCCGCCUCCGGAAAGCAAGGGCAGUUUACCGAAGUGACUGAGGCCAAGUAUUUGCAGCACGGGCAGGGACCAGUAACUGAUUUUCAGGCCUUUUGAGAGGAAGAGGAAGAGAGAGGAAGAGAAGGAUUUCUAAUAGUAGAUAUUCACUCUCAUGGACUCUUUAGGAAACAGCAACAAAGACAAGAUUAAGAACACCAAAUUGUGUGACUAUCCACACAAAAAAGCAUCUUCAUAAGAACCAAAAAUCAGAAUGGUGAGAAUCAAAAAUUUUGUGCGAGGUUAAAACCUUCAGCCCCACGUGCUGUUUGCAAACCUGCCUGUACCUG
rnacentral:lncRNA from 1 species